rnacentral:rRNA from 1 species
AAAACAUGUCUUUGUGGAUCUAAUUUAUUCAAAGUCUAGCCUGCCCACUGAUAUUUAUUUUCAAGGGCCGCGGUAUACUGACCGUGCGAAGGUAGCAUAAUAAUUUGUCUCUUAAUUGGAGACUUGUAUGAAUGGUUGGACAAAAAAUUAGCUGUCUUUUUUGUAUAAUUUGAAUUUAACGUUUAAGUGAAAAGUCUUAAAUGUAAUAGGGGGACGAUAAGACCCUAUAAAUCUUUAUGUUUUUAAAGUUCUGAGUAAGCAUUAAAUUCAUAUUUUUAUUUAGUUCGGUAAAAACAUUUUGUUGGGGCGACAUAAGUAUAAUAAGUAACUGCUUAUUGAAUGGAAUUAAUCAUAUUUAUUUUGGUAGUGAUUAGAGUGAUCCUUUAGUAUAGAUAAAAGAAUAAGUUACUUUAGGGAUAACAGCGUAAUUUUUUUUAAGAGUCCAUAUCGAAAAAAGAGAUUGCGACCUCGAUGUUGAAUUAAAGAUCCUUAAUGUUGCAGCAGAUAUAAGAGGAGGUCUGUUCGACCUUUAAAUCUUUACGUGAUCUGAUU